rnacentral:rRNA from 1 species
GACGAACGCUGGCGGCGUGCUUAACACAUGCAAGUCGAGCGGUAAGGCCCUUUCGGGGGUACACGAGCGGCGAACGGGUGAGUAACACGUGGGUGACCUGCCCUUAGCUCUGGGAUAAGCCUGGGAAACUGGGUCUAAUACCGGAUAUGACUCCAUGACUCAUGUUGUGGGGUGGAAAGCCUUGUGCGGCUAGGGAUGGGCCCGCGGCCUAUCAGCUUGUUGGUGGGGUAAUUGCCUACCAAGGCGA